UCCGUCGGUCGACGUACGUCAGAGAGGGUUUGAUUACUGGCUCAGGACGAACGCUGGCGGCGUGCUUAACACAUGCAAGUUGAACGGUAUGACAUGGAAGCUUGCUGAAGUGUCAUAUAGUAGCGGACGGGUGAGUAAUGCAUGAGAAGCUGCCAUUGGGAGGGGGACAACAGUUGGAAACGGCUGCUAAUACCCCGUAUGCCGGAGGGUGAAAGGGAGUAAUCCGCCCGAUGAGGUGCUCAUGUCCUAUCAGCUGGUUGGUGGGGUAACGGCCUACCAAGGCGACGACGGGUAGCCGGCCUGAGAGGGUGAACGGCCACACUGGAACUGAGAUACGGUCCAGACUCCUACGGGAGGCAGCAGUGGGGAAUUAAUUGGGCAAUGGGGGCAACCCUGACCCAGCGACGCCGCGUGGGGGAAGACGGCCUUCGGGUUGUAAACCUCUUUUGUACGGGAAGAAGGAAGUGACGGUACUGUACGAAUAAGUCCCGGCUAACUACGUGCCAGCCGCCGC
rnacentral:rRNA from 1 species